UGGGGAAUAUUGGACAAUGGGCGCAAGCCUGAUCCAGCAAUGCCGCGUGAGUGAUGAAGGCCUUCGGGUUGUAAAGCUCUUUCGCACGCGACGAUGAUGACGGUAGCGUGAGAAGAAGCCCCGGCUAACUCCGUGCCAGCAGCCGCGGUAAUACGAAGGGGGCUAGCGUUGUUCGGAAUUACUGGGCGUAAAGGGCGCGUAGGCGGUCCCUCAAGUCAGGCGUGAAAGCCCCGGGCUCAACCUGGGAACCGCGCUUGAGACUGAUGGGCUAGAGUUCGGGAGAGGAUGGUGGAAUUCCCAGUGUAGAGGUGAAAUUCGUAGAUAUUGGGAAGAACACCGAUGGCGAAGGCAGCCAUCUGGACCGACACUGACGCUGAGGCGCGAAAGCGUGGGGAGCAAACAGGAUUAGAUACCCUGGUAGUCCACGCCGUAAACGAUGAGUGCUAGACGUCGGGGCUCGUUAGAGCUUCGGUGUCGCAGCUAACG
rnacentral:rRNA from 1 species